UAGGGAAUCUUCGGCAAUGGGGGGAACCCUGACCGAGCAACGCCGCGUGAGUGAAGAAGGUUUUCGGAUCGUAAAGCUCUGUUGUUAAGGAAGAACGAGUGUGAGAAUGGAAAGUUCAUGCUGUGACGGUACUUAACCAGAAAGCCACGGCUAACUACGUGCCAGCAGCCGCGGUAAUACGUAGGUGGCAAGCGUUGUCCGGAUUUAUUGGGCGUAAAGCGAGCGCAGGCGGUCAAUUAAGUCUGAUGUGAAAGCCCCCGGCUCAACCGGGGAGGGUGAUUGGAAACUGGUUGACUUGAGUGCAGAAGAGGAGAGUGGAAUUCCAUGUGUAGCGGUGAAAUGCGUAGAUAUAUGGAGGAACACCAGUGGCGAAGGCGACUCUCUGGUCUGUAACUGACGCUGGGGUUCGAAAGCGUGGGUAGCAAACAGG
rnacentral:rRNA from 1 species